AGUGCGGAAUAGCUCAGGGAAACUUGGAGUAAUACCGCAUACGCCCGCAAGGGGAAAGAUUUAUCGCCAUUAGAUGGGCCCGCGUUGGAUUAGCUAGUUGGUGAGGUAAUGGCUCACCAAGGCGACGGUCCAUAGCUGGUCUGAGAGGAUGAUCAGCCACACUGGGACUGAGACACGGCCCAGACUCCUACGGGAGGCAGCAGUGGGGAAUAUUGGACAAUGGGCGCAAGCCUGAUCCAGCCAUGCCGCGUGAGUGACGAAGGUCUUCGGAUUGUAAAGCUCUUUUGGCGGGGACGAUAAU
rnacentral:rRNA from 1 species